rnacentral:rRNA from 1 species
CAUGCAAGUCGAGGGGAAACGACAUCGAAAGCUUGCUUUUGAUGGGCGUCGACCGGCGCACGGGUGAGUAACGCGUAUCCAACCUGCCCACCACUUGGGGAUAACCUUGCGAAAGUAAGACUAAUACCCAAUGACGUCUCUAGAAGACAUCUGAAAGAGAUUAAAGAUUUAUCGGUGAUGGAUGGGGAUGCGUCUGAUUAGCUUGUUGGCGGGGUAACGGCCCACCAAGGCGACGAUCAGUAGGGGUUCUGAGAGGAAGGUCCCCCACAUUGGAACUGAGACACGGUCCAAACUCCUACGGGAGGCAGCAGUGAGGAAUAUUGGUCAAUGGACGAGAGUCUGAACCAGCCAAGUAGCGUGCAGGAAGACGGCCCUAUGGGUUGUAAACUGCUUUUAUAAGGGAAUAAAGUGAGAGUCGUGACUCUUUUUGCAUGUACCUUAUGAAUAAGGACCGGCUAAUUCCGUGCCAGCAGCCGCGGUAAUACGGAAGGUCCGGGCGUUAUCCGGAUUUAUUGGGUUUAAAGGGAGCGUAGGCCGGAGAUUAAGCGUGUUGUGAAAUGUAGAUGCUCAACAUCUGAACUGCAGCGCGAACUGGUUUCCUUGAGUACGCACAAAGUGGGCGGAAUUCGUGGUGUAGCGGUGAAAUGCUUAGAUAUCACGAAGAACUCCGAUUGCGAAGGCAGCUCACUGGAGCGCAACUGACGCUGAAGCUCGAAAGUGCGGGUAUCGAACAGGUUUAGAUACCCUGGUAGUCCGCACGGUAAACGAUGGAUGCCCGCUGUUGGUCUGAAUAGGUCAGCGGCCAAGCGAAAGCAUUAAGCAUCCCACCUGGGGAGUACGCCGGCAACGGUGAAACUCAAAGGAAUUGACGGGGCC